UACGUAGGGGGCAAGCGUUGUCCGGAUUCAUUGGGCGUAAAGAGCUCGUAGGCGGUUCAGUAAGUCGGGUGUGAAACCUCCAGGCUCAACCUGGAGACGCCACCUGAUACUGCUGUGGCUAGAGUCCGGUAGGGGAGCGUGGAAUUCCUGGUGUAGCGGUGAAAUGCGCAGAUAUCAGGAAGAACACCAAUGGCGAAGGCAGCUCCUC
rnacentral:rRNA from 1 species